rnacentral:rRNA from 1 species
GACGAACGCUGGCGGCAUGCUUAACACAUGCAAGUCGAACGGAAAGGCCCUGCUUGCUGGGUACUCGAGUGGCGAACGGGUGAGUAACACGUGGGUGAUCUGCCCUGCACUUCGGGAUGGGCCUGGGAAACUGGGUCUAAUACCGGAUAGGAGCUAUUUUUAGUGUGAUGGUUGGAAAGUUUUUUCGGUGUAGGAUGAGCUCGCGGCCUAUCAGCUUGUUGGUGGGGUAAUGGGCUACAAAGGCGGCGACGGGUAGCCGGACUGAGAGGGUGGACGGCCACAUUGAGACUGAGAUACGGCCCCGGCGCCGACUGGUGGCAGAGGGGGGGAAUACUGAUCAAGGGGCGCAAGCCGGAUGCAGAGACGCCGCGGGGGGGAGAGCGGUCUUCGGGUUAGAGACGCCUUGCGCUAGGAACCAAGCUUUUUGUGACGGUACCUAGAUAAUAAGCACCGGCUAACUACGUG